rnacentral:rRNA from 1 species
AACGAACGCUGGCGGCAGGCUUAACACAUGCAAGUCGAACGAGAUCUUCGGAUCUAGUGGCAGACGGGUGAGGAACACGUGGGAACAUCCCUUUCAGUUCGGAAUAACGUUGGGAAACUAACGCUAAUACCGGAUACGUCCUUCGGGAGAAAGAUUUAUCGCUGAAAGAUUGGCCCGCGUCUGAUUAGCUAGUUGGUGAGGUAACGGCUCACCAAGGCUACGAUCAGUAGCUGAUCUGAGAGGAUGAUCAGCCACAUUGGGACUGAGACACGGCCCAAACUCCUACGGGAGGCAGCAGUGGGGAAUAUUGGACAAUGGGCGCAAGCCUGAUCCAGCCAUGCCGCGUGAGUGAUGACGGCCUUCGGGUUGUAAAGCUCAUUUGUCCGGGAUGAUAAUGACUGUACCGGAAGAAUAAGCCCCGGCAAACUUCGUGCCAGCAGCCGCUGUAAGAC